rnacentral:rRNA from 1 species
AGUGAACGCUGGCGGUAGGCCUAACACAUGCAAGUCGAACGGCAGCACAGUAAGAGCUUGCUCUUACGGGUGGCGAGUGGCGGACGGGUGAGGAAUACAUCGGAAUCUACUUUUUCGUGGGGGAUAACGUAGGGAAACUUACGCUAAUACCGCAUACGACCUACGGGUGAAAGCAGGGGAUCUUCGGACCUUGCGCGAUUGAAUGAGCCGAUGUCGGAUUAGCUAGUUGGCGGGGUAAAGGCCCACCAAGGCGACGAUCCGUAGCUGGUCUGAGAGGAUGACAAGCAAAAUGGGACUGAGACACGGUCCAGACUCCUACGGGAGGAAGCAGUGGGGAAUAUUGGACAAUGGGCGCAAGCCUGAUCCAGCCAUACCGCGUGGGUGAAGAAGGCCUUCGGGUUGUAAAGCCCUUUUGUUGGGAAAGAAAAGCAGCAGGUUAAUACCCCGCCGUUCUGACGGUACCCAAAGAAUAAGCACCGGCUAACUUCGUG